rnacentral:misc_RNA from 1 species
GCUUCGCGUCCCUUUUCAUUUACGUUUCCGCCCAGAGCUCCCCUAAAAUUUCCCUCCCAAUUGCCGCUUGGUGGAGAAAUCAGAAAUGGCGGAAAGUCAAGGAAGCAGCGAGAAAAUGACAGCUAAACACAAGAAGAGAGACCCGAACCUACUCGCCUUCACCGGUGCUGCUGCUCUUCUCGCUCUCACUGCUGGCUUUGCUAUCUCCGCCUUCAAUUCUCACCGCAAAAAGUCAAAAAAGAAAGAUCUUCCGGGGUCUACUGUUCGUCUCAAUCUAUUGGCGUCUGAGAUUCUGAAAUUAGCUGACCGAAUCAUUGCUAAGUCGAAAAAGGUUCAUGAUACAGUUGCUUCUAUUCCCCUUGACAAGGUCACUUAUGCAAAUGUUAUUGCUCCCCUAACAGAUUUGGAGGCACAACAAUUUCCACUGAUUCAAUCUUGCGUGUUUCCAAAGUUAGUAUCCACUUUGGAAGAUGUGAGGAAAGCAAGUGCUGAAGCUGAGCGAAGAAUAGAUGCUCACAUUUCCACAUGCAGUAAACGUGAAGAUUUAUAUCGUGUUGUGAAAGCUUUGUCUGUGAAAGGGGAAUGGAUGAAUCCUGAGGCAAAACACUAUGUUAAGUGCCUGGUUACAGACUUUGAGCGGAAUGGUCUGAACCUUACUGUUACCAAAAGAGAGGAAGCUCAGCGUUUGAGAGCUCAAAUUGAUGAACUAAGCUUGUGUUAUGUCAGAAAUUUGAAUGAUGAUAGCUCUUAUCUUCUUUUCAGUGAGGCAGAGCUGGUUGGAUUACCACCAGAGUACCUGAAGAGCUUGGACAAGGCUGAAAAUGGUAAAUAUAAGGUCACAAUGAAGAGUCAUCAUGUUGUGGUACUGUUGGAGCUUUGCAAGAUAGGAAUGACACGGAGGAUUGUUGCGACAGCAUAUGGGAAGAGGUGUGGAGAAGUCAAUCUCUCUGUCUUAGAACAUUUGGUUGAACUACGCCACAAAUAUGCUCGGUUAUUUGGCUAUUCAAACUAUGCAGAUUAUGCUGUUGAUCUUAGAAUGGCAAAGACAUCCUCAAAGGUAUUUGAAUUCUUAGAGGAUAUCUCUGCCAAUUUAACUGACCUGGCGACUAGGGAACUCACCGUGUUGAAAGAUUUAAAGAAGAAAGAGGAAGGAGAACUUCCAUUUGGAAUUGAGGAUCUAUUAUACUAUGUGAAGAGGGUUGAAGAAAAGCAGUUUGAUCUGGACUUUGUUGCUCUUAGGCAAUUCUUCCCUGUUGAUUUGGUUUUAUCUGGGAUCUUCAAAAUAUUGCAAGACCUUUUCGGGUUAAGAUUUCAGGAAAUUGCAGAUGCGGAGGUUUGGCACGGUGAUGUCAGUGUCUUUUCAGUGUUCGACUUAAGUUCUAAUGAACUCUUGGGUUUUUUCUACCUUGAUUUAUACAAAAGGGACGGAAAAUAUGGUCACACUUGUGUUGUGGCUCUUCAAAAUGGUGCAUUAUCAUGUAAUGGGGCACGGCAGGUGACAUUUUUUGUGUUCCAACUCUCUAAAAAAUUUUGAAGAUUGAAACCUUCCAAUAAACAUACACUUGUUUUGCUUUGGGUGCUGCUUUCGACUCUUAUGGUUCCUUUCAAGAAUUUCUGCAUAGGACAGAUUUUGUUGUUUUUUUUACAGCCUUUGGCUAUUCAGCAGUUAUGCUUGUUCUCAUUGUUUUGACCAGCUAUGCAUUUGCUGUUGAAUUUUAGAUCCUUUCAGUUGAACAAAGCAAUCCUUACCUGUACAUCCAUUGGUUUUGAAGAACAGUGGGAUUUUACAUUUUUCACUGAGGCUUCUAUUUUUGUAGCAUUUACAAAGUUGUAGUCUUCUGCUUUGAAAUGGAAGGAUUUAUGAGCCUUCACCCCCUCCUUCCUUUCCUCUGGAUCCAUCCUCAAUAUCUUCCUUUAGAUCUUUCUAUUUUGUGUAAUAAACUUGCAAGAGGACUUGUUAUGCACUGGUUCAUGUACAACUGUCUUAAUCAUUUGUUUUUGUUUCUCUUGAUGUGCUUACUUCAAAGGAAUUGCUUGAUUCUUAUUUGAGGUUUACAGUUGACAUGAACUAACGGUACCAUGGUGCAUGAUUAUUCUGAAGACCCACCGGUUAAACUUGUUAAUGCUUGGUUUUCUGUAACUAGAUUCCAGUGGCAUUGCUUAUAUCUCAAUUGCAAAAUGGUGUUGGUGGUCACCCUUGUUUAUUGAGAUUCUCUGAAGUGGUUAGCCUUUUCCAUGAGUUUGGCCAUGUGGUUCAACACAUUUGCAAUCGUGCAUCGUUUGCUAGAUUCUCUGGAUUGCGUGUUGAUCCUGACUUAGUGGAGAUCCCUUCUUUGGUGCUAGAAAACUGGUGUUAUGAGAGCUUCUCUUUGAAGUUGAUAUCUGGUUUCCAUCAGGACAUUACAAAACCCAUCAAGGAUGAAAUAUGCAGAUCACUCAAAAGAUGGAAAUAUUUCUUUUCUGCACUUAAAUUGAAGCAGGAAAUUCUUUAUUGUCUUUUUGAUCAAAUUAUACAUUCUGCCGACAAUGUUGAUAUUGUUGAGUUGUUCAAGCAUCUUCAUCCAAAGGUCAUGCUAGGUCUGCCAAUGUUAGAUGGGGCCAAUCCAGCUUCAUGUUUCCCGCGUAGUGCUAUUGGUUAUGAAGCUGCUUGUUACAGUCGUAUUUGGAGUGAGGUCUUUGCAGCCGACAUCUUUACUUCAAAAUUUCGUGAUGAUCUUUUGAACCACAAUGUUGGCAUGCAGUUUAGGGACAAGGUACUGGCCCCAGGAGGAGCAAAGGAACCCAUUGAAAUUCUAUCAGAUUUUCUCGGAAGAGAACCAUCCAUUCAGGCUUUUGUUGAUAGCAGGGCUGAAUACGGUUUAUGAUUCAAAUUUUGAAUGAAAAUUGGGGCGAGGUUUGAGAUCAAGAUUAUCUGGUGGCAUCUCUAUUUCUCAGUUCCGUGCAGAAGUAAUCUAUGCUUUAUUUAUUUAUUUGUGGUUUUUCUACAUUUUGUCCUUGUUUGUAUAUAAGAUUUUGAAAGCUGCUACAGUGAAUUGUUUAAUAAUUGAUAUGGACGGCAAAGAUUGUACAGUCUUGACUGCUGAAAGCACGGUUCAUAUUCAAUGACUUGGUAAGCAGAGGCUGCUGGCUUGCUUUGCUUGAUGGCGUGGACUAUCAAAUAGGCUUUGUAGAUGGAUUUUGAUGAAUAUAUUCCAGACGUCCACCACCUACUCUGGACUUAAAUUAAUGUUAAACUUGCCCAAUAGAUUGUACGGGCAUGGUGGUCACCCGGAUUGACCUUCCUUCAAAAGAAUCCCCAUUUUGAGCAUUUCAAAACUUCGUAUGGUGGAACAAUGUUCAAAGUGAAAGCAACUCUAAACCAUCUAAAGAUGGUUCGGCUCUUGGGAUCUCCAAAAGGAUGGUAAAGCUUUUUCUCAAAUAUUCCUUGUGCUUUUAAGUUAAAUUUAUAGAAUCAGUCUGAAUUACAAGCCAG